UCUGAAGAGCGAUAGGCUAUAAAUCUUAUC
rnacentral:piRNA from 1 species